AGUCGAGCGAUGAGAUCACUUCGGUGAAGGAUUAGCGGCGAACGGGUGAGGAACACGUGAAGAAUCUGCCUUCAACUCUGGGAUAACUCCGGGAAACCGGGGCUAAUACCGGAUAUGAGCCUUGAUCGCAUGAUCGGGGCUGGAAAGUUUUUCGGUUGAAGAUGACUUCGCGGCCUAUCAGCUUGUUGGUGAGGUAAUGGCUCACCAAGGCGACGACGGGUAGCCGGCCUGAGAGGGCGACCGGCCACACUGGGACUGAGACACGGCCCAGACUCCUACGGGAGGCAGCAGUGGGGAAUAUUGGGCAAUGGACGAAAGUCUGACCCAGCGACGCCGCGUGCGGGAUGAAGGCCUUCGGGUUGUAAACCGCUUUCAGCAGGGAAUAAGCGCAAGUGAAGGUACCUGCAGAAGAAGCACCGGCUAACUAUGUGCCAGCAGCCGCGGUAAUACAUAGGGUGCAAGCGUUGUCCGGAAUUAUUGGGCGUAAAGAGCUCGUAGGUGGUUUGUUACGUCGGUUGUGAAAUUCAGGGGCUCAACCCCUGACUUGCAGCCGAUACGGGCAAGCUAGAGUUUGGUAGGGGAGACUGGAAUUCCUGGUGUAGCGGUGGAAUGCGCAGAUAUCAGGAGGAACACCGAUGGCGAAGGCAGGUCUCUGGGCCAAUACUGACACUGAGGAGCGAAAGCGUGGGGAGCGAACAGGAUUAGAUACCCUGGUAGUCCACGCCGUAAACGGUGG
rnacentral:rRNA from 1 species